AGCUUUAAUUGCUUCCUGUGGAGUGCCUGCCUCUGUUGAGGGAGAAACCAGGCUUCCAAGCACCACUCCUUAUAGGAUCUGUUUGAAGUGCUUGUGUAGCCCAAAGCACCCUUCCAGGCGAAGACGUGACAGAAAAGCAGAAACAGCCUGUCCAGAGCAUCUGUUUGGGAGGCUUCCGAAACGCGGAUUCCUGCGGAUCUCUGAUUGAAAGCAUCUGGCGGGGACCGGCGUGGACCAAAUCCUGUCACAGACCCAUCUCUUGCAGAAAGCAGAAACAUGCAAACAACCUGAAGAAAAAAAGAAAUGUCUACAUGCCAUUUUCCAUGAAAAAUGGGAAUGUGGGCCCAUCUGUUGCCUGCACUGGUCCAGCUUUCAGGAAAUUCUGCAUAGCUUAUCUCUAGUCCAAAGCUUUUAGGAAAGAAGGGGAUCUGGGAAAGCUGUUUUAAUAGCCAGAAUUACAA